GUCGUCACCAUGUGAGGAAGAAGAGAGACCCAAGGAGAUUAAAGUCAAUGUACUCUCCUACAAACAUUUCUUCGAAAUUGCUGAGAAAACGCGUCUUGGUUUUUUUUUCUUUUCUUCCUUUUAUACGCAACUUUGCAAAGUCUUCACCUACCACAUGCUUUGCCUACCACUUGCUUUUAUGGAUGCGAAUCUGAGUUAAUUGGUGAAUAUAUAGAUCAGAGGGAAAGGAAGAAAGCACAGUUGCAGCUGAACCAACAAUCAGAACACCUCAGCGUCGUCCUCGCCACUUUCUUGCUGAAUUAAUUAAUUGGUGAAUAUGUAGAUCUGAGGUUGUUGAUCAAUAAAAGUGUAGAUUGGAAGUAAAUGAAGAAAGCACAGAAGCAGCUGAACCAACAAUCAGAACACCUCAGGUUCGUCGCCACCUGAGGAAGAAGAGAGGCCAAGAGAUAUUAAAGCCGAUGUAUUAUUCGGUUAAC
rnacentral:misc_RNA from 1 species